UUUGGGGCCUUUCUAUGGGAUUUUGAAGUCGAUCCAUGGGGUUUUGGGUCCGUUCUGUGGGAUUUUGGGUCCAUUUUGUGGGAUUUUGAAAUCCAUAGGAUUUUGGGGCCAUUCUGUGGGAUUUUGGGGCCCAUUCUGUGGGAUUUUGGGGUCAUUCUAUGGGGUUUGGAGUCCAUUCUAUGGGACUUUGGGUUCCUUUUUUGCACUUUUGGGGCCAUUUCCGUGGGAUUCUGGGGCCAUUUCUGUGGGAUUUUGAGGACAAUCCAUAGGAUUUUGGGUCCAUUCUAUGGGAUUUCGGAUCCCUUCUAUGAAUUUUAGGGUCCAUUCUGUGGGAUUUUUGGGUCCAUUUUGGGGGAUUUUGGAGUCAAUCCAUGGGAUUUGGGGUCCAUUCCUUGGGAUUUUGAGGGCAAUCAUUGGGGUUUUGGGUCCGUUCUGUGGGAUUUGGGGCCAUUCUGUGGGAUUUUGACUCAUUUUUAUGCAUUUUUGGGACAUUCUGCAUCCAUUCUGGGGGAUUUUGGGGUCAAUCCAUGGGAUUUUGGGUUCGUUGUAUGGGAUUUUGGAGUCAAUCCAUGGGAUUUUGGGUCUGUUCUUUGGGAUUGGGAUUUUGGGGUCAAUCCAUGGAAAUUGGAUUUCGUUGUAUGGGAUUUUUGAGUCAGUCCAUGGGAUUUUGGGUCUAUUUCAUGGGAUUGGGAUUUUGGGUGCAUUUCUUUGGGAUUUUGGAGUCAAUCCAUGGGAUUUUGGAUUUGUUGAAUGGGAUUUUGGAGUCAAUCCAUGGGAUUUUGGAGUCAAACCAUGGGAUUUGGGGUCUAUUCUUUGGGAUUGCGAGUUUGGGUCCUUUCUUUGGGAUUUUGGGUCCAUUCUGUGGGAUUUUGGGGUUCGUUGUAUGGGAUUUUGGAGUCAAUCCAUGGGAUUUUGGCCUCAUCGUAUGGGAUUUUGGCUCCAUUCCUUGGGAUUUUGGAGUCAAUCCACGGGAGCUCGGGUCUAUUCCUUGGGAUUGGGACUUUGGCCCCACUCUCCAUGAUUUCCCCACAUUUCCCCCCCAUUCCACCCCAUUUCCUCACCUCCCCCCUGCUGUAGCCCCCAGCGUUUCCCAUUUUCAGCCCUUUUAACCCAUUUCUUCCCCCUUUCCCACCCCAGUUCUACCUGAGGGAGGCCGACGUGGGGCAGAACCGAGCCGAGGCGACGCUGCCCAGGCUGGCGGAGCUCAACGCCUACGUGGGGGUCAGCAGCAGCACGGAGCCCCUGAGCGAGGAGCUCCUGCAGCCCUUCCAGGUACCUGAACGGCCCCAUAGAAACCCCAUAACGGCCCCAUAGGGACCCCAUAGUGUGAGCCACAGUGUGACCCCAUAACUGCCCCAUAGAGACCCUAUAAAGACCCCAUAGAGACCCCAUAGCAGCACGGAGCCCCCGAGCGAGGAGCUCCUGCAGCCCUUCCAGGUACCAUAGAGACCCCAUAGAAACCCCAUAACGGCCCCAUAGGGACCCCAUAGUGUCACCCCACAGUGUGACCCCAUAACUGCCCCAUAGAGACCCUAUAGAGACCCCAUAG
ensembl:lncRNA